UCCGAGUUGUCCCCGGCAGUCCUCUUAGAGUCCCCGGCAUUACCCGCUGGCAACUAAGAGCAUGGGUUGCGCUCGUUGCGGGACUUAACCCAACACCUCACGGCACGAGCUGACGACAGCCAUGCAGCACCUCUGCUAGCUCCCUUUCGGGUCGUUCCCCUUUCAGGGUCCUACCACUAACAGUUCAAGCCCAGGUAAGGUUCUUCGCGUUGCAUCGAAUUAAACCACAUGCUCCACCGCUUGUGCGGGCCCCCGUCAAUUCCUUUGAGUUUCACCCUUGCGGGCGUACUCCCCAGGUGGGGAUGACGAGGGAAUGUCGAUA
rnacentral:misc_RNA from 1 species